CAGUCGCCGCGGUAAUACAGAGGGUGCGAGCGUUAAUCGGAUUUACUGGGCGUAAAGCGUGCGUAGGCGGCUUUUUAAGUCGGAUGUGAAAUCCCUGAGCUUAACUUAGGAAUUGCAUUCGAUACUGGGAAGCUAGAGUAUGGGAGAGGAUGGUAGAAUUCCAGGUGUAGCGGUGAAAUGCGUAGAGAUGUGGAGGAAUACCGAUGGCGAAGGCAGCCCCCUGGGCCAAUACUGACGCUCAUGCACGAAAGCGUGGGGAGCAAACAGGAUUAGAUACCCCAGUAGUCCCUGUCUCUUAUAA
rnacentral:rRNA from 1 species